rnacentral:siRNA from 1 species
GUGGCGGGGAAUUGCCGUG